rnacentral:rRNA from 1 species
GACGAACGCUGGCGGCGUGCCUAACACAUGCAAGUCGAGCGAACAGAUGACGAUCUUGCUACUCUGACGUCAACCGCGGAAGGGUGAGUAAAGUAUCGAUAACCUACCUUCAAGACUGCGACAACUUCCGGAAACCAGAGCUAAUACCGGAUCAUAUCUGGAACCGCGUGGUUCAAUAGUGUCGGCGGGUUUUGCUGUCACUUAUACAUGUAUCCGCGCCGCUUUAGCUAGUUGGUAAGGUAACGGCUUACCAAGGCAACGAUGCGUAGCCGACCUGAGAGCGGGUACGGCGACACUGGAACUGAGACACGACCCAGACACCGACGGGAGGCAGCAGUAGGGAAUCUUCCGAGAAGGGCGAAAGACUGACGGAGGAGCGCCGCGUGGAUGAUGAAGGGCUUCGGAUCGUAUAACUCUGUUAUUGGUGAAGAACGAAUGUGUAAGUAACUAAGCACGUCUUGACGGUACCUACUCAGAAAGCAACGGCUAACUACGUG